GGGGGGAGGAAUUGGCGGGGGAGCACCGCAACGGGAGGAGCGUGCGGUUUAAUUGGAUUCAACACCGGAAAACUCACCAAGGGCGACUGUUACAUGAAGGCCAGGCCGACGACCUUGCCGGAUUUUCAGAGAGGUGGUGCAUGGCCGUCGUCAGUUCGUACCGUAAGGCGUUCUCUUAAGUGAGAUAACGAACGAGACCCUCACCGAUAAUUGCUACUUCUUCCUCCGGGGAGGAGGCACAUUAUCGGGACCGCUGGCGCUAAGCCAGAGGAAGGAGAGGUCAACGGUAGGUCAGUAUGCCCCGAAUCUCUUGGGCUACACGCGCGCUACAAAGGGCGGGACAAUGGGCUCCGACGCCGAGAGGCGGAGGCAAUCCCGAAACCCGUCCGUAGUUCGGAUUGAGGGCUGUAACCCGCCCUCAUGAAGCUGGAUUCCGUAGUAAUCGCGAAUCAACAACUCGCGGUGAAUAUGCCCCUGCUCCUUGCACACACCGC
rnacentral:rRNA from 1 species